UACGUAGGGGGCUAGCGUUGUCCGGAUUUAUUGGGCGUAAAGAGCGUGUAGGUGGCCAGGUAGGUCUGGUGUGAAAACGUCGAGGCUUAACCUCGAGAUGUCAUCGGAAACCAUCUGGCUAGAGUCCGGAAGAGGAGAGUGGAAUUCCUGGUGUAGCGGUGAAAUGCGCAGAUAUCAGGAAGAACACCAAUGGCGAAAGCAGCUCUCGUGGGACGGUACUGACGCUGAGACGCGAAAGCGUGGGGAGCGAACAGG
rnacentral:rRNA from 1 species